rnacentral:rRNA from 1 species
GAUGAACGCUGGCGGCGUGCCUAAUACAUGCAAGUCGAGCGAACAGAUGAGAAGCUUGCUUCUCUGAUGUUAGCGGCGGACGGGUGAGUAACACGUGGGUAACCUACCUAUAAGACUGGGAUAACUCCGGGAAACCGGGGCUAAUACCGGAUAAUAUUUUGAACCGCAUGGUUCAAUAGUGAGAGACGGUUUCGGCUGUCACUUAUAGAUGGACCCGCGCCGUAUUAGCUAGUUGGUAAGGUAACGGCUUACCAAGGCGACGAUACGUAGCCGACCUGAGAGGGUGAUCGGCCACACUGGAACUCAGCCACGGUCCAGACUCCUACGGGAGGCAGCAGUAGGGAAUCUUCCGCAAUGGGCGAAAGCCUGACGGAGCAACGCCGCGUGAGUGAUGAAGGUCUUCGGAUCGUAAAACUCUGUUGUUAGGGAAGAACAAAUUUGUUAGUAACUGAACAAGUCUUGACGGUACCUAACCAGAAAGCCACGGCUAACUACGUGCCAGCCGCCGCGGUAA